rnacentral:rRNA from 1 species
AUUGAACGCUGGCGGCAGGCCUAACACAUGCAAGUCGAGCGAGAGGCGGACGGGUGAGUCAUGUCUGGGACACUGCCUGAUGGAGGGGGAUAACUACUGGAAACGGUAGCUAAUACCGCAUACCAUCAGAUGUGCCCAGAUGGGAUUAGCUAGUAGGUGGGGUAACGUCUCACCUAGGCGACGAUCCCUAGCUGGUCUGAGAGGAUGACCAGACAAACGUGAACUGAGACACGGUCCAGACUCCUACGGGAGGCAGCAGUGGGGAAUAUUGCACAAUGGGCGCAAGCCUGAUGCAGCCAUGCCGCGGGUGUGAAGAAGGCCUUCGGGUUGUAAAGCACUGUCAGCGGGGAGGCGUUACCCGCAGAAGAAGCACCGGCUAACUCCGUGCCAGCAGCCGCGGUAAUAC